rnacentral:rRNA from 1 species
CAUAUCAAUAAGCGGAGGAAAAGAAACUAACAAGGAUUCCCCUAGUAACGGCGAGUGAAGCGGGAAGAGCUCAAAUUUGAAAUCUGGCGGCCUCUGGCCGUCCGAGUUGUAAUCUGGAGAAGCGUCUUCCGCGCCGGACCGUGUACAAGUCCCUUGGAACAGGGCGUCGCAGAGGGUGAGAAUCCCGUCCUCGACACGGACCGCCCGGUGCUAUGUGAUGCGCUCUCGAAGAGUCGAGUUGUUUGGGAAUGCAGCUCAAAGUGGGUGGUAAACUCCAUCUAAAGCUAAAUAUUGGCGAAAGACCGAUAGCGAACAAGUACCGUGAGGGAAAGAUGAAAAGCACUUUGGAAAGAGAGUUAAACAGUACGUGAAAUUGUUGAAAGGGAAACGCUUGAAGUCAGUCGCGUCUCUCGGGACUCAGCCCUGCCCGCUUGGGCUCGGUGCACUUCCCGGUUGACGGGCCAGCGUCGAUUUUGACCGUCGGAGAAAGGCUCUGGGGGAACGUGGCACCCUAGGGUGUGUUUAUAGCCCCUGGUCGUAUGCGACGGUUGGGAUCGAGGAUCGCAGCACGCCCUCCCUUUGAGGUCGGGGUUCGCCCACGUAACGUGCUUAGGAUGCUGGCGUA